rnacentral:rRNA from 1 species
UACGAAGGGGGCUAGCGUUGCUCGGAAUCACUGGGCGUAAAGGGUGCGUAGGCGGGUCUUUAAGUCAGGGGUGAAAUCCUGGAGCUCAACUCCAGAACUGCCUUUGAUACUGAAGAUCUUGAGUGCGGGAGAGGUGAGUGGAACUGCGAGUGUAGAGGUGAAAUUCGUAGAUAUUCGCAAGAACACCAGUGGCGAAGGCGGCCAACUGGUCCGAUACUGACGCUGAGGCGCGAAAGCGUGGGGAGCAAACAGG